GACGUAGGGGGCCAGCGUUGUUCGGAAUUACUGGGUGUAAAGGGUUCGUAGGCGGUGCGGCAAGUUGGGAGUGAAAUCUCUGGGCUUAACCCAGAGGCUGCUUCCAAAACUGCUGUGCUUGAGUGUGGGAGAGGCGCGUGGAAUUGCAGGUGUAGCGGUGAAAUGCGUAGAUAUCUGCAGGAACACCCGUGGCGAAAGCGGCGCGCUGGACCACUACUGACGCUGAGGAGCGAAAGCGUGGGGAGCGAACAGG
rnacentral:rRNA from 1 species